ensembl:lncRNA
GAUCCUGGGCGCAGGGGACCAUCGGGUGGUCCACCCGGGUGGACCACCUGGGCCUGAAGUGGGACAACGUGCUGGGAACGAGCAGAGCCAGCUGAAGAUGGUGGACCUGGGCUCCUCUCAGCCCUUCACCCCCGGGCAGCCCGUCCACAUAGAGCACCUCCGGGGGCUGGCAGAGAACAGAAUGCAGCAGCAAAGGGACGAGCUGACGGGAGAUGGAUGAAAGGAACUAGCUCACCCUAAUCAACCACCCCACAUAUUUUGAUCUCAUCAUUCUCCAUUCUCAUUACCAUUUUUUCAAUACAUUUUUCUGUAUCAACAGAAAAAUGUCAUGUGUUUAUGAAGAUGCGUUACGUCUGUCUGUCUCAGUUUACAUUGUGCUUCCAAAAGCUCCCGAGAUUCUGGAAGGAAACGUAAUCGGACCGGAGGCGGACAACUGGGCCAUCUCACCCUGGCCUUCAUCAUGUGAGGACAUCAGAUCACACUCUCUCUCUCUGUCUCUGUCUCUCUCUCUCUCUCUCUCUCUCUCUCUCUCUCUCUCUCUCUCUCUCUCUCUCUCUCUCUCUCUCUCUCUCUCUCUCUCUCUCUCUCUCUCCUCUCUCUCUCUCUCUCUCUCUCUCUCUCUCUCUCUCUCUCUCUCUCUCUCUCUCUCUCUCUCUCUCUCUCUCUCUCUCUCUCUCCUCUGUGCAGGGGCAGACCCACGGUGGCAGGGCCCCUCACUCAGCAGGGGGGGCUCCCUGGUCAGCUCACCGGGGGGGGGGGCAGCUUAAGGCCUACCUGAGGGCGGCAGACCAAGCUCAGAGGACUCUUCUUGAAGUGAUGAACACGAGGCUUCACUCACAGCAUGCUGUCUGAGUCCCAGAGGGGGUGGAGGUGGUCGGUGGAGGUGGUCAUUGGAGGUGGAGGUGGUCAUUUGUCAUUGGAGGUGGAGGUGGUCAUUGGAGGUGGAGGUGGUCAUUGGAGGUGGAGGUGGUCAUUGGAGGUGGAGGUGGUCAUUUGUCAUUGGAGGUGGAGGUGGUCAUUGGAGGUGGAGGUGGUCAUUUGUCAUUGGAGGUGGAGGUGGUCAUUGGAGGUGGAGGUGGUCAUUGGAGGUGGUCAUUGGAGGUGGAGGUGGUCAUUGGAGGGGUUCUUUGGGGCCUCAUUGUUUCCUGGGCACCCUGCCACCAUUUUGACACAAGUUUAAUUACAAUCUAUGUUGCGUCUUAAGAAUGGGAUAAAGCAUACGUGUGUACCAUAGGCUGUUUAUGUUUAUUGACAUUUAUCUGUGUGUAGUUCUUGCAUUGGCAGAUUAAUUGAGAUCAGGGAUGCAUAUUGGGGUAACACAUUAUUGGAUCAUGCUGUCAGUGCUUAUUGAGACACAAUAUGGUUUGUUUUGAAUGUACUACUACAUUUAUUCAUGUAUAAAGUGUUUGCAUGUGAGCCCUGUUCCAGGGGUCUCCGUGGUUCCUGUGUAUGUAAAGUGAUUAAAGACGGAUUGCACGCCGCAACAUGCGUGUGAACUCUGAACCUGUGAAACCACUUCAGGGCUCUUAAUGAAACUAAAAUGUUUGAUCAGCGUCUCCUUGUCUUCUCUUCAUCCUCUGCUCCAUGCAAACACAGUCUUGCCACUUCUAGGGACGUAUUUUAAGUGGCGCAAACACAGUGAUAAUGUGUACGGGUAAUAAUAGUUGUAGGGUAUAAUAUUCGUUUUCCAUGACGUGUGACAGUGUUACCCCUUAUGUUUUAUUAGAAAACGAUGAUAAAAAUAAAACGACAGUGUUACCCCUUACGUUUUAUUCCAUGACGAGCGAUAAAAAACGACAGUAUUACCCCUUAUGUUUUACUUGGCAACGACCAAUAAAAAGCGACAGUAUUACCCCUUAUGUUUUAUUUGACAACGAUGAUAAAAAAAAAACGACAGUGUUACCCCUUACGUUUUAUUCAACAACGAGUGCAAGAAAAUGUAAGUGUUACCCCUUAUGUUUUAUUUGACAACGAUCAAUAAAAAACGACAGUGGUACCCCUAACGUUUUAUAUUUGACAACGACCAAUGAAAAACAACAGUGUUACCC